GUGUACAAGCAUGUUGAUUUUUUGAUUUCUUAACUUGAUUAGUGCCUUCAUGUAUUACUUCUAACCUAUCCCAUAUUUUCUUAGCUGACAUGCAUGUUGAAAUGCAAUUAAACUUAUUAGUAUCUAAAGCACAAUAUAGAACAUUCAUGGCUUUAGCAUUGAGUUGAACCAUUUUUUUGUCAACCUUAUCCCAUUCUCUUUCGGGUUUGGUUGAUUCUAUACUAUCAAUUAUCUUAGUGGGUGUGUGUGGUCUAUUAACUAUGAUACUCUACAUAUCAUAGUCAAGUGCUUGAAUAAAGAUUUUCAUUCGAGCUUUCCAAUAGGUAUAGUUUGACCCAUUGAAAAGUAGAGGUCAAUUUGUGAACUGCCCCUCGACUAGUGAAGCACCAACUUGAGUUGCCAUAGAUCUUUAGCUCUUUGAUGGUUAAAUCAAAGUAGGGCUAGAGUACCGUGCUCUGAUAUCACUUGUUGCCCAGCUAUGCAACCCAAGAGGAGGGGUGAACUGAAUUUUUAAAAUUUUAAAGUUAAUUUAGAACCACAAGGAUUAAGUAAUAGUAAGCAAGUUAUGUGCAGUAAGUGAUUUAAGCUAGGUGUAAAAAUGAGAUACAAGAAUGCAAAAAAAUAAGAAGAUUUAGAUAGAGAGCAAGUAAGCACACCACAAACAAUCAAGAUUUAUAGUGGUUGUGUCAACCUUGCACCUACAUCCACUCUCCAAGCUCCUACUUGAGAAUUUAAAUCCACAAAAAUAUAUUCAACAAGAAUACAAUGUCGGUACCUCCGACUCUAGCUAUUCCUAGCUAGAACACUUAUUUUUCGGAUACAAGCUAAUCCAAUACAAUCCGAUUUAAGGUUCGGAUCAAUCUAUCAAAGUUUUGAAAUCCUUUCAAAACUAAAAAUCAAGAUAAAAGUAGAGUAAGAG
rnacentral:lncRNA from 1 species